CCGGGGCCGGCCCUGAGGCCCUGACCGCAGCACGAAGUCUUUGGGACAGCAGCAGCGUGCAGCGGGCUUCCAUCCCCCCGAAAAAGAAACCCAGAGGGAUCCGUGAUGGGAAGAGCACCGGGUUGCUGCCGGUAACGAGGAAAUGAGAUCACAGGGCGAGCACAGAGUGUGGGAGGAGACAGCUUUCUGCUUGUGGUCUACCGGAAUACACAGAGCAAAUCUCCGUUUGGCCUUCUGACUGCACAGCACGCAGGAACGUGCGGGUGUGUGAACCAAAAGGCAGCUGCACUGUGAGCCCAUCGCCUUGGGAGCGGAUCCGAACGGUCACAUCUGAACCUGUGACACCAAGAGGAGGAGAGGAGCAUGCAUCAGUGCUGCCCAUUGCUCAGGAACAGCCCCAUCUCUGCUCCCUGCAGCUAAGCAUGCCUCUGCAGGCUUUCAUCAGCAGGUUUGCCCAGGUCUUACCAUUUCACUUUCACAUUUUGCGUGAGGAUGUAAUUAAAAAAAUGCAAAAAUCA